UCAACUUUAUCGAAAUAUGUUUUUUUAUACAAUAAAUAAUGCAAGAAUUGAACUUAAAUCAUGUAUUUAUCCUAACCCUCGUCACUAAGACAACCUAGUGGGUUACUUAUGAAAGUAUGUUAAAGAUGAAAAAAAAUUAAAAUUUAAUUUUACAUUUUUUUUGUGUAAUUGAUUUUACAUAUAUCAUGCAUGUAUAUAAUAUAUGUAUAAUAAAUAGAUGGCUUCUGUGGUAGUAGUGGUCCACCAAGCACAAAUGAUAGUGACUCUUGGAUUAAUCUAAGGUGCACAGCCGCAUUAUACACCCUCCAUAAUAAAACUCUAUCGUUCCUACUCUUCCUCCUUCUGCUGCAGACUCUUUUCCGUUUCCGGCCACUCUCGAGCACCUCCGGAGGCUCCGUCCAGACGUACCCACCACCGCCCCAAAUGCUGCAGGAAGCUCUCCUCCCCCAAAAUCAGAUCCAAGAUUGUUUCUGAUAAAACAUAAUAACAAAUCAGGUCCAAAAAAGCAAUCUUGGAACUCAUAUGGAGCCAUACUCAUGAAUCCAAAAUCCAUAUAUAAUUGAUAACAAAGGUCAUUCAAACCCAUAAAACCAAGAUUCAACCCAAAUCAAAAUUGUUAGAUAGAGGAAUCAAUAAUUGCAAACGAAGAAGAAGAAGAAAUCGUUGUUCUGAAAAAAAAAAUACACUUAAAAGUUUACAGAAAAAAAAUCACUCCUUUACGAUUCAACACAAAAAAAAAUCGAUUCUUUUCUCAAUCACUCCUUACCGCUGUAGGUAUACUUGAUACCAUAGGAAGUUCUACGGUAGCCUCAACACCGUCGGGCUUUGGUUGUCGGCAAGUCAUGGAAUCCAUCAAAGAGCAUGACAACAUCGUCCAAACGACUUGUUUCUUUUUUCGUUGUUGAAGAGAGCAGAGAAUGACGAGGAAGAAAACCCAAGAGAGAAGGAAUUUUGUGUGAAACGUGCAUCCUACUAACAAAAGAAGAUUAAUCCAACGGCUGUUAAAUGUGAUUCACCAAAG
rnacentral:lncRNA from 1 species